rnacentral:misc_RNA from 1 species
GAUGAAGAACGCAGCAAAAUGCGAUACUUGGUGUGAAUUGCAGAAUCCCGUGAACCAUCGAGUUUUUGAACGCAAGUUGCGCCCGAAGCCUUUUGGCCGAGGGCACGUCUGCCUGGGCGUCACGCAUCGCGUCGCCCCCCACAAUUCUCCGUAAAGGGAACGUGUGUUUUGGGGGCGGAUAUUGGUCUCCCGUGCUCAUGGCGUGGUUGGCCGAAAUAGGAGUCCUUUCGAUGGACGCACGAACUAGUGGUGGUCGUAAAAACCCUCGUCUUUUGUUUCGUGCUGUUGCUCGCAAGGUAAACUCUUUAAAAACCCCAAUGUGUCGUCUCUUGACGACGCUUCGACCGCGACCCCAGGUCAGGCGGAACUACCCGCUGAGUUUAAGCAUAUCAAUAAGCGGAGGA